AUUGAACGCUGGCGGCAUGCUUUACACAUGCAAGUCGAACGGCAGCGCGGGCUUCGGCCUGGCUGCGAGUGGCGAACGGGGGAGUAAUGCAUCUGAACGUGCCCAGUAGUGGGGGAGAGCCCGGCGAAAGCCGGAUUAAUACCGCAUACGACCUGCGGGUGAAAGCGGGGGACCGAAAGACCUCGCGCUAUUGGAGCCGCCGAUGUCGGAUUAGCUAGUUGGUGGGGUUAAGGCUUACCAAGGCGCCGAUCCGUAGCUGGUCUUAGAGGACGACCAGCCACACUGGAACUGAGACAUGGCCCAGACUCCUACGGGAGGCAGCAGUGGGGAAUUUUGGACAAUGGGGGCAACCCUGAUCCAGCCAUGCCGCGUGCGGGAAGAAGGCCUUCGGGUUGUAAACCGCUUUUGUUCGGGAAGAAAUCCUCUGGGCUAAUACCCCGGGGGGAUGACGGUACCGGAAGAAUAAGCACCGGCUAACUACGUG
rnacentral:rRNA from 1 species